UACGAAGGCGGCUAGCGUUGCUCGGAAUUACUGGGCGUAAAGCGCACGUAGGCGGCUUUCUAAGUCGGGGGUGAAAUCCUGGAGCUCAACUCCAGAACUGCCUUCGAUACUGGAGAGCUUGAGUCCGGGAGAGGUGAGUGGAACUGCGAGUGUAGAGGUGAAAUUCGUAGAUAUUCGCAAGAACACCAGUGGCGAAGGCGGCUCACUGGCCCGGUACUGACGCUGAGGUGCGAAAGCGUGGGGAGCAAACAGG
rnacentral:rRNA from 1 species